CUCUCCCACUGUGACAGUGAGUGAUUCUCCUGACUACUGAUCGAGCAGCCAUCUCCCGGCUCCUGCCUACACCUUCAGCCAUUCAGUGCACCUGCACAGACAAUUCACCAGUCCCAGUGGGAAAUCAAACAUGGAGGGCACUCCUCUGUUUUCAUGGAUGUUUGCAAAGAAGAAGAUUUUCAGGAUGUAUAUUGUAUACAUUUCUCUGACAUUAAAUGUACCUUUGAAACCUUUGAACUCUUUGACUCAAUAACUGCUUCAAGCUUCAACAAAAAUUACAGCCGCAAGCAGUCCUUCCAGAUGCUGCCUGACCUACUGAGUUCCUGCCACACUUUGUGUGCGUUGAUCCAAACAUCUGUACAGCUAAUCCAGAUGAUGGAGUGAGAGAGAGCUUUGAGAGACACAGCACGGAAACAGGCCCUUCCGGCUGAACGAGCUGCGCCGCCAAUUCACCUUCUAGCCCGGAUGUCUUUGUAAAGUGGGAGGAAACCGGAGCACCAGGAGAAAACCCAGUCAGUCAUGGGUAGAAUGUAUUAACUCCUUACAGACAGCGCGGUGGGACUGAAACCCGCUCGGUGAUCACCGGCAUCGCGAAGCGCCGUGCUAACUGCGACACCACCAUGCCGGUGUCUGCUGGGAACAGCUUGCAAGAGUCCAACACCAUCUUGGAAGUUUUAAGAGGUUUUGAAGGGUUUAUUGCCAGAGAUUGUUGCACCGCUGUCUGGGCACCACAGAGGGAACCAAUGCAGUGUCAGGGAGAGUGUGCAAACUCCUUGCAGACAGCAGUGGCAAUUCAAUCUGGAUCGCUGGCGCUGUAAAGUGUUGUGCUAACCACUACACUACCAUGUGGCCAACAUCUGGUGAAUGAAGUAAAUCACAGUACCUAUGAGGAGGCAGAGGAAAGAGGUGGUGUGGGAAGGCUGAUGAGUGGUGAUCUACUAACUUUUAAGGCCAGUUAGACAAAGGUUCAAUCAGGUAGCAAGAGCUCCAUGCUCCAUCGUUCCCCACACAGGGGAAAUGUCUAACACCCCGGGUAAGGAGACAAGGGGCAUGUGAGCAGAAACAAUUUACUUCUUGAGGAACAUGCAUAAACUGCUACGGAACCCAAUGAGUCAGGCGGUCUGUGAUAGGAGAUGGGCAGUCACCCUUCAUCAGGACUGGCAAGAAAGAGGGGAGAUAGCCAGUACGAAAAGGUGAAGGGGAAGGGGCGGAGAGAG